UACGAAGGGGGCCAGCGUUGCUCGGAAUCACUGGGCGUAAAGCGCACGUAGGCGGAUUGCUAAGUCAGGGGUGAAAUCCUGGAGCUCAACUCCAGAACUGCCUUUGAUACUGGCGACCUUGAGUCCGGGAGAGGUGAGUGGAACUGCGAGUGUAGAGGUGAAAUUCGUAGAUAUUCGCAAGAACACCAGUGGCGAAGGCGGCUCACUGGCCCGGUACUGACGCUGAGGUGCGAAAGCGUGGGGAGCAAACAGG
rnacentral:rRNA from 1 species